rnacentral:rRNA from 1 species
UUGAAAGGGAAACGAUUGAAGUCAGUCGUACCUUCGGGUAAUCAGCCUUUCGGGUGCGAUUCUGUGGAGCGUAAGGAGUUAAACGCCUUCAUGCCUGCAUAUUCGUGCACUUUGGGUGUACUUGCCCGUGUGGUAGGUUAACAUCAAUUUCGGAUGUCAUAAAAUGGCUGGAGGAAUGUAGCUUCGGUCUCGUACUGAAGUGUUAUAGCCUUUGGUAGAUGUGAUGACCGGGAUUGAGGAUUGCAACGAAUACCUUUUGGGCUACCCGCCUGAUCUCUGAAAGUUGCUCUGGUGCCGAAAGCGUGCUUACGGUUAUCAAAGUUGACGUUCAAAAGGUUAGAACGGGUUAAAUUCGUUAAGGAUGUUGACGUA